UCCGACAACCAACGUCAUCUCGUGAAAUCAACACCACUGCCGGAUUCCAACCUCCUUCGACGAACAUAGGACUUUUUUCCCGUCAGCCAUCGUCUCCUCCUUUCCCCACCGAGUUCUCUUUUUCUCGACAUGGAGAAGAUGGAGCUUGCCUUUCGAUGACAAAAUCAAACUCAGAUUCUGACUACUUUGAUGGCUACCUCCGGCGAAAGCAACUGCAAACCUUCACCUUUUCUUGGUUGCUCUCCGUUCUGGUGAAACAAGAGACUUCUCUUCGUCUCUCAUCCAGGCCUCUCGUCCGUGACACAUCACAACAUCACAAUCAUCUUCACCAUCAAUUAACUCCGGCUGCGUUUAACUCCGCCGAAUCGGACCGCCACCAUCACCGCACAACUCAUGGUACUCUCCAAUCUCUCAUUUUCUCGUUGUUGUGAUGAUUAGAGAGUAUCUCUUCUGAAAUUUUGAGACACUUCAAAUUCAAUUUCAGUCUCCAUUGGUGAGCUCCACCUCUUUUCCCGCGAAUCCGACCAUUGAUUCCUCUGCAAAUCUCAGGUUUCUUCCGACGAGCUCCAUCUUCCACUGUCACUUCCAGAAAUCCAAAGGUGAGCAAUUUUAUCCCCCCAAUUUCUAUUGCCUUUAGGCUGUAGCUGCUCCAUCUCAAUUUCUGGAUUUUGCCCGAGAACCCUAAUUCCCUCCUUUUUUUUUGUUUCUUGAUCCACCAAGUUUUCUCGCUGAAACUUUCAUGGAACCUAUCACUUUCUAACACGGCUCCAAAAUAUUCCGAGGUAGCUUCUUCACAGUCCUGCAAGAUCAAGUCACAAACACUAGGACUGUUUCUCCAAUGAACAACGAAGCCUUCAUCUGUUAAGAUGAGCUCCGCAGCUCCUUUGAUGAACUGGUGUUCUUUUUCUCCUUGAUGACUUCAGAAACUCCACAUGGAAUCAGAAUCUGCAGCUCCACCUGGAAUAUAAGUCUCCUCACCGUAUUUCCAGGCGCCUACAGAGCGUACAAUAUCGAUAGUGGAGUUACCUGGAGCUGUGUCGUCCUCCUUACGAUGUUGAGGAGAUCGUAGCAAGCAUGAAAGUCCUCUCCAUCUAUUGCUUGAGUCAUAACAUCUGUUGGUUCAAUUGUUUUUAGUAUCUUGUUUAGGACAACAUCUCCUUUGGAUACCAAAUCUGUGAUGAUCUGAAAUCUUGUGUCCAUAAGUUCGGUUCCCGAUUCCUUCCCUUCUGUAGUUAAGCUCAUUAAUCUGAAAUGAGAUGUAGUUGGUACCAACUACUGUAGCUUCAUUCAUUUUGAAAGUUUUAGCUUCCUUUUCCUGACUUUCUUGUAACAGAGCUAGAACUCCCUUAGCUUUAUCUC